rnacentral:misc_RNA from 1 species
AAAGUCGUAACAAGGUAACCGUAGGUGAACCUGCGGUUGGAUCAUUACUGAAAUGAUUAAGGUUAUAGAUCUUAGAUCUGUAGCCUUGCACGAUAGUGCAACACUUUUUGUGCACCGUACAUGUGCCUGGUGGGUGAACAGUCUUUGUAUAAAUAAAGGCUGUUCGGACUGUUGCCAAUUCUCAGUGAGUUUUGGCAACGCAACACAAGUCAGCCCACCAGACGUGUCCUUUACUUUUGUUGUUAUUACUUUGUCUGAUUAAAAGCUAUUUGUAGUAAUAUACAAACAACUUUUGGCAACGGAUCUCUUGGUUCUC